AUGGUCCAUAAUGAUGUGAUUGUGGCAAAGAGUCCGGAUCGUCAAGCGGACAAGCCGAAAGGAAUCCACGGGGAAAGGGUGUGCUCUAAAGUUUCAGGUACCCAAGAAAAAGGAUGAUGAUCAAGCAAUCGAGUCGAACCGAACACACAUAUUAUAACGCUUCCGCACUUGAUAUUUUGUUUUGUAACUAUGUAAACACUCGUAGUUUUACCUUGAACAUCGUUUAGUAGGUUAAACAUGUGAAUGUUGUAACUAGUUGGUUCUCAAAUCUUGAAAGUUUUUGUAAAGUCUACUUUUGGC
rnacentral:lncRNA from 1 species